rnacentral:rRNA from 1 species
CCGGCGCACGGGCGAGUAACACGUAUCCAACCUGCCGUCUACUCCUUGGACAGCCUUCUGAAAGGAAGAUUAAUACAAGAUGGCAUCAUGAGUCCGCAUGUUCACAUGAUUAAAGGUAUUCCGGUAGACGAUGGGGAUGCGUUCCAUUAGAUAGUAGGCGGGGUAACGGCCCACCUAGUCUUCGAUGGAUAGGGGUUCUGAGAGGAAGGUCCCCCACAUUGGAACUGAGACACGGUCCAAACUCCUACGGGAGGCAGCAUG